rnacentral:rRNA from 1 species
CCUACGGGAGGCAGCAGUGGGGAAUAUUGCGCAAUGGGCGAAAGCCUGAACCAGCCAUGCCGCGUGCAGGAUGACGGCUCUAUGAGUUGUAAACUGCUUUUGUACGAGGGUAAACCCCGAUACGUGUAUCGGGUUGAAAGUAUCGUACGAAUAAGGAUCGGCUAACUCCGUGCCAGCAGCCGCGGUAAUACGGAGGAUCCGAGCGUUAUCCGGAUUUAUUGGGUUUAAAGGGUGCGUAGGCGGUUUGAUAAGUUAGAGGUGAAAUGUCGGGGCUCAACCCCGAAACUGCCUCUAAUACUGUUGGACUAGAGAAUAGUUGCGGUAGGCGGAAUGUAUGGUGUAGCGGUGAAAUGCUUAGAGAUCAUACAGAACACCGAUUGCGAAGGCAGCUUACCAAACUAUAUCUGACGUUGAGGCACGAAAGCGUGGGUAGCAAACAGGAUUAGAUACCCGAGUAGUC